rnacentral:lncRNA from 1 species
UUCAGCUUCCCUGGAACUCUGGUCUAAACGUGCUUCCCAGGGUCCUCCGCAUCUGUGUACAAGGAAGAAAACAAGCUGCUUCCUGCCUCAAACCUGUGCUUUCACAUUCUCCUCGCUGUGUAACCCUUAUCAGCCUCUGCUCCCUCCUGUCUUCGUGGGCGUUACUCUUGCAUGGUUUUCAUGCGUCAACCUAUGGUUUUGAGGGCAAUUGAUUGGUGUCAACAACAUCGUGGGAUGUAGAAAGUAAGCAAGGA